rnacentral:lncRNA from 12 species
AUGGUGCUGCAAUCCCUUAUAAGACGAUCAACAGCCUUCUUGCACCAAUCAAGUCACCAAUUUGUUCCUCUGUGCAGGAGUGUAACAAGUUUCUUAGUUUCUUCAUGGAAAAAAAUUGAAAAUAUCUAUCAGUCUAUCAGUUUGGUACCUUGCUCUGCAGUUCCUGUGAUCUUUCCACCUAGUUUUCCUGAAAGUGCAUUUUCUAGUUUUAACAUAGUCACUAAUGAUUGUAUUCUAAAAUUAUUGAUGGCAAUGAAUACAACUCUCGACCCAAUCCCAACAUCUGUUCUAAAUGGGUGUCUCUCUUCAAUUAGUCCCCUCAACUUGAACAUUGUGAACACCUCCCUCACUACUGGUACAGUUCCAAAAGCCCUUAAAGUUGCAGCUAUUACACCAGUCCUUAAAAAGCCUGGAUGUGAUAAGUCAGAUCUAUCUAAUUACAGACCUAUCUCAAACUUACCCUUUCUUGCUAAAGUUUUCAUUGGCACACCAGCGGCUAUUCACAAGGGUAGCAAUCUUAAUUUGAUUAUGGAUGACAGUGUAGUACUUCCAUCUGCUCAGGCUCGUAACCUUGGAGUGAUUUUUGACACUCAUCUGACACUAGACUCUCACAUUAAGAAUAUUACAAAAUCUGCUUUCCAUCACCUUAGAAACAUUGCAGGAAUUAGGCCUUUCCUCACUCCACCUGAAGCUGAAGGGCUCAUUCAUGCAUUUUUUACUUCCAGGAUUGACCACUGUAAUGCACUAUUCAUUGGCUUACAUGCUAAAUCAAUUAAACGCCUGCAGUAUAUCCAGAAUUCAGCAGCUUGUGUUCUCACAUAUACUCCAUCACGUCAGCAUAUCACAGGCGUGCUUUAUAGUUUGCAUUGGCUUCCUGUACAGUCACGUAUUGUUUUUAAAACUCUAACAUUAACAUACAAAGCUAUACAUGGAACUGCCCCUUCUUAUAUUUGUGACUUAGUCACCCGUUAUACACCUUCUCGUUCCCUUCAGUCUGCUGAUUCUCUUACUCUUCAACAGCCUCCCUAUAGAUUAAAAUCUAUGGGGGAGAGGGCUUUCUCUGUUGCUGCACCUAGGUUAUGGAAUGUGCUUCCCGUUGCUGUUAGAGAUGUUCACACACUAGCCAGUUUUAAGAAGCUGUUAAAAACUCAUCUUUUUAAAAUUGCUUUUAUGGACUGUCAGUAA